rnacentral:rRNA from 1 species
AGCUCCAAUAGCGUAUAUUAAAGUUGUUGCAGUUAAAAAGCUCGUAGUCGAACUUCUGGCUGGCGUUGUCAAUGCUUCGGUGUUGGCACCGUGCAGUCAUCCUCUUGAGAACCUUCUGCACCUUCACUGGCUGUGGAUGGGUAUCAAGAACUUUACUUUGAAAAAAUUAGAGUGUUUCAGGCAGGCGAUUGCCCGAAUACAUUAGCAUGGAAUAAUGGAAUAGGACUUCUCCCAUUUUGUUGGUUAUUGGUUGAAGUAAUGAUUAAUAGGGACAGUUGGGGGCAUUAGUAUUUAAUUGUCAGAGGUGAAAUUCUUGGAUUUAUUAAAGACUAACUAAUGCGAAAGCAUUUGCCAAGGAUGUUUUCA